AAUUCCGGUUGAUCCUGCCGGAGGUCACCGCUAUCAGGGUUCGGCUUAACCAUGCGAGGCAAGAUGUUACAGUUUCAGCAAUGAAGUUGUGGCGUCUGUCGUACUGCUCAGUAACACGUAGUUAACCUGCCCUUUUCUCCGGGACAAUCCCGCGAAUGGGCUUUUCUUUCAGAAAGAAAAUCCCAGGCAAAAGAAACGAUAUUGGCUUGCGCCAUAUUAUUUUAUUAUUUUGUCUGGCUUCAAAUUAGAAGGAAUCGCCCUCGCGAAAGUGGGGCUAAUACCGGAUAACUGUCGGAUACUGGAAUGUUCCAACGGUAAAAGCUUCGGCGGAAAAGGAUGGGACUGCGGCUGAUUAGGCUGUUGUCAGUGUAAUGAGCCUUUUUCUUUCUUAAUGCGAAAAAUCAAAGAAAGAAACCCCUCGGGAAAAAAGAAAGAAAUAAAUUUUACUUUUCUCAAAUUAUUUUUCUUAAACAAAUUUCUUUUUUUUCCGGGCGAAGGAGAAAGGCGUUACAGAACUGACAAACCGAUAAUCAGUAUGGGCCAUGAGAGUGGAUGCCCAGAGAUGCCUUCUGAGACAUGAAGGCAGGUCCUACGGGACGCAGCAGGUGCGAAAACUUCCCAAUGCCUGAAAGGGUGAGGAGGGAACCCUGAGUGGUUGCACUUUUAGUGCAAUCUUUUGCCUAGUCCAAACAACUAGGCGAAUAAGUGGUGGGUAAGACGGGUGCCAAUGAGCUUUUCUUUCAAGAAAGAAAAUCUCAAUCAAAAGAAAGAUAUUAUAAAGAAAAGUUCUGCACAUGCCGCCGCGGUAAUACCCGCGCCACAAGUGGUGAUCGCGAUUAUUGGGCCUAAAGGGUUCGUAGCCGGUUUGGCAAGUUCCUGGUGAAAUCUCUCAGCUAACAAUAAAUGAUAUUCAAUAAAACAACGACGCAAGUUCGAAUGUCGUUUAUUAGCAAUGAGAGGCGUGCUGGGAAUACUGCCGGACUUGGAACCGGGAAAAGUCAGAGGUAUUCGUCGGGUAGGAGUUAAAUCCUUUAAUCCGACGAGGACCAACGGUGGCGAAGGCGUCUGACUGGAACGGGUUCGACGGUGAGGGACGAAAGCGUGGGGAGCAAAUGGGAUUAGAUACCCCAGUAGUCCACGCUGUAAACGAUGUCCGUUUGAUGUUGCAAGUCCUAUAGGGGCCUGCAGUGUCGGAGCGUAGGUGUUAAACGGACCGCCUGGGGAGUACGGCCGCAAGGCUGAAACUUAAGGGAAUUGGCGGGGGAGCACACAAGGGGUGGAGGCUGCGGUUCAAUCGGAUUCAACGCCGAACAUCUCACCAGGAGAGACAGCAGUAUGAAGGUCAGCCUGACGGGUUUACCAGACGCGCUGAGAGGAGUUGCAUGGCCAUCGUCAGCUCGUACCAUGAGGCGUGCCGUUAAGUCGGUUAACGAGCGAGACCCACGCUGUUAGUUGCCACCGCAAUCUGCGGAUUGCGAGCACCCUAACAGGACCGCUGGUGAAAAACCAGAUGAAGGAGUGGGCGACGGUAGGUCCGUAUGGCCCGAAUCUCCUGGGCUACACGCGGCCUACAAUGGUUGGGACAAUGCGAUGCAACGCCGAAAGGCGAAGCUAACCGCCUAAACCCAACCUUAGUUCGGAUUGGGGGCUGAAACUCGCCCCCAUGAAGCCGGAAUCCCUAGUAAGCGAACGUCAUAAAGCCCUUUUCUUUUUGGCAACGAACUUGAAAAAAGAAAAGCGCUUGCGGAAAAGAAAAAAGAAUAGAAAUUAAAAACAAAAAUCCUUUCAAAGCGCGAAAGAAAAAGGCAUGAGUUCGUUCGCUGAAUACGUCCCUGCUCCUUGCACACACCGCCUGUCAAACCAUGCGAAUGGAUUUUUGGUGAGGCUCUCCCCGCAACCCAGCAAUGGGAGCGGCGAAAGUCGAGCCAAGAGUCUGUAAGUGGGGUUAAGUCAUAACAAGGCAG
rnacentral:rRNA from 1 species